UGCAGUAGGGUAGAGAGUCCGCACUUGCGCGGCGGCCGAACUGAGAGAGAAUUAGUCCCUGCGGUCCCACAAGACGGGCCCCGCUGCCCUUGGUGACCCUGCGCUCCGGCCUCGGGGCGAAGUGUGCAGGGGGAGCUGAACCAUUGCAACAGCACGGGCGCCCUGGAGAUGCACGAGCGGGUGGAGCAGCUGAAGCAGAGCAUACACCGCGUGCACCUCUACUCCCGGGACACCAAGAAGAGGAGAAGGAAGCCAAGACAGAAGAAACCAGAACCCAUCCUCUUACGGGACCAGUCGACCUCCCCAUGCCUGCCACCGACCCCACUGCCACCUCUGCCACUGCCACCACCAUGGUCUCCGUGGUGACCCCGUCACCCCCUGUCUAUACUAUGCCUAGGGUCCUUGGUCCCUUCCCUCCACUGCCCUGCACGUCAGUCAGUGGGAGCCUCCCCCACUCCAGGCAGUCCUGGGUGCCCCCUGCUCAGAACAAUCCCAGGGGCUCUCCUGGGCCUGUAGCUGUGGCUCUCAGCCCUCUGCUUUCAAGCAGCAGACCCCUCUUUGCAGACAGGGUCUUCAUGGAUAAAGCAGAUAAACGGGGUUUGCCCUGGUUAAGGCAUUGGGUGAGGUUGAAGGCACCAAGGGGCUCCACCUUCUUGACUUUAGGCAAGCAAGGCAGCCCCAGGCGCACCAGACAGGAUCCUGGGGCUCCCAAAGGACAGGUGGAAAACCAGAGGGCCCCUCCCACAUCUCCAGCACCAGUCCUGCCUCUCCCUGUGGGCAUGGCUCCCCACGCUAUCCUCUGCCUGCAGUGUACUGGGUUAGAGCCAGGAUGGUGUCUGGCCCCAGGGAGGUGCAGAGGCAUGCUUACCAGGGGAAGCCAGGGCAAUGGAGCUUGGGCGUGCUGUUUCCAGCCACAUAGGAGAAAUGGAAGCCUCCAGGGUUGAGAACCAAGGGAGUCAGAUCAACCAUGCGGCUGCAAGACAGGGCAGAGAGGGGACAUCAGCCCCAGGCCCCUCCACACCUCAUGUGCAGUUCUACAGCAUGGGCACAGGUACUGCCCACACAGUCGACCUCUGAGCCCAGACCCCUCCCCUGUAAAAUGAGAAUAAGCACUCAGGAUGAUUGUGAGGAUUAACUAACAUAUUGAGAAGAAAUGGUGACUGAGCCUGGCACAUGGGACACUCCCCAAAAUGCUCCUUUUUCAUUUCCCUCAAGCCCAGAGUAAACCCCUUCGACCUCCUUGCGUUUCAUGACAGGCCAUUCCAGUUUAAUUUCACUUCAGAUCUUGAAAUGUUCAAAUUCUUCGCUUGGAGGAUAGAAAGGAAAUCUCAGGACGAGUUUGUUGGCCUCAGUUAAAGAAAAGUACUUUACAGAAGAGCCAUAAGAAUGACGUGGCUUUCAUUCACUCGGCAGAUACAUUGGGACCAUCUCUUGUGCCUACCUUGAGCUUGGUUAGGGGUACAGGAGAUGGGAUCGGGGGCGCUGGGAACUAAGGAGGUCUUAACCCAGCCUGGGGGAUGGAGGACUGCCUGGAGGUGGAGGCCAGCCCUGAAUGAGUCACACAGGCUAAGUGGGGAAUCAAGAGGUGCAGGCAGUUAGGCCACCACACCUGGCCGUUCAUCUUUUUUAGCAUUGAAUAAUAUUCCAUUGCCUGGAUAUGCCACAUUUUAUCAUUCACCCAGUGAAGGAUAUCCUGGUUGCUUCCAAGUUUUGGCAGUUAUGAAUACAGCAGCUAUAAACAUCUGUGUGGAGGUUUUAGACUGGACAUAACUGUUCAGCUCAUUUGGGUAAAUACCAAGGAGCAUGCUUGCUGAAUCAUAGGGUACGAUAACCAAACUAUCUUCCAAAAUGACUGUACCAUUUUGCAUUCAGCAAUGAAUAAGAAUUCAGAGGACUUGGCACAGUGGCUGAUGCCUGUAAUCCCAGCA